UUCAGUCAAGAUUUGAGGCUUGUGCAGCUGUUCCUGGCCCAGACUUUACCUGAACUGCAGGGUUUGGCAGGUGCACAGCCUCAAGGUUUGACGUUAGAGAGAGCCCUGCUCCUCGCUGGUGCCCUGGCCACCUGUUCACAUACGGUGUUGUUCUUCCCACUUUAACUCACUUCAGCUCCUCAUACUGAUGCCCCAGGGUUGCUGUUUCCAUUUUUUUUCAUUCGAUAUCUGUGUGCCUCAAUGAUCUUUUUUCCCCACCUUCAUUUUUCUUUCUUCAGCGGCAUCUGCUAGCUCGUCUACCCCUGUUCCAUUGUCUCCACCAGAUAAAGGGGAACCCAGUGCACCUAAGCUUGAAGGGCAGAUGGGAGAGGAUGGAAACUCUAUUAAAGUGAACCUGAUCAAGCAGGAUGACGGCGGCUCCCCCAUCAGACACUAUCUGGUCAGGUACCGAGCGCUCUCCUCCGAGUGGAAACCAGAGAUCAGGCUCCCGUCUGGCAGUGACCACGUCAUGCUGAAGUCCCUCGACUGGAAUGCUGAGUAUGAGGUCUACGUGGUGGCUGAGAACCAGCAAGGAAAAUCCAAGG
rnacentral:sRNA from 1 species